GCCGGGUGCGGUGGCUCACACCUGUAAUCCCAGCAUUUUAGGAGGCUGAGGUGGGAGGAUUACCUGAGGUUAGGAGUUCGAGACCAGCCUGGCCAACAUGGUGAAACCCCAUCUCUA
rfam:Nomascus leucogenys chromosome 16, whole genome shotgun sequence.